UCCCUCACUCCUCUCAAGCUGGCCAGUUCUUCUGAGCAUAGCGGAGAGCAGAGAGUAGCCAGCACAGCAUGGCUGCUGCCACCAAAUCUGCCAUGCCUGAGUGCCAAUCUGUCGAGCCCAAGCCACAAGAAGCACCAAGGAAGGUCUCCGAGCCCGUUCCCUGCUAUUUUCCCCUCCUUCUCUGGCCGCAAUAGGUUCACCGACGCUUCUUCCUCAUCUUUGGCUGACUCUUUCCGCACCUCACCGCCGAGCCAUCAAGAAACUGCCUCUCCGGACCAACCGACACUUUGUGAAUGAAGGACCAGAGCAUGACGAGAGUGCGAUCGAGAACAACGCCAACCAUCUGCAUAUCUGUGAGUUCUGUGCGGGAAGUAUCAGGCAAACCCUGUAGCAUCAAGGAAAGCAUCUAAGCAUAUUGCACCCUUUGUUCAAAUUAAAUAGUGUCUCAAUUGAUAAAUUAUGCUUAUGUAUGUUUGCAUGUUUAGCGAGUCGUUGUUUAGAACCUAUGUUGAAUUGCAUAUCCUCUACCUUGAGAUGUGGUAUCUCCAUAUCCUUGUAGCCUUAGUAACAUGGUCGAUGUCUAAGAGUCAUUCAAAAUGCUUAGCAAUGCAUAGGUCCUCGGUAGAAGUCGAGCGAUGGUGCUGUCGUUGUUCGUGAGCCUAGGGUUACUUUAUUGUUUGCAAGUACUAUGAUGAUGAUGUUGAUGAGGUGUAUGAAGUACAAGGAUGGGAGGAGUCAUCGGGGUAGUUCGGGGGAAGGAACCCGGACACCAUAGGCCGCUUUGCAUCGUUUAAGCACUGAUCAUUGGUGUUGUUGGCUCUAGCACUUUCCAUACUAACCACAAGCUGAUCUAAUAGUAGGGUUAGCCGAUUAUCAUACACCAUGCUAACACUUGACUUGCGGCCCUAUGAUACGUAACAGAAAAACAUGAGGAGAAGCAAGGUGUUGGGGAGCCGAAGCAUGGCCGCGACUUGCUCGCGGUAACCCCGGUGCCAUAGGGGCAUGUGCAAGUGGUAGUUCCAUGUAUGAGAAAGAUUGUCAUGAGUACCCCCCACGUGUGUACUUGGGCAAGUAGCAUAAGCCAAAUGGUCCUCGUGUCAUGUGGGUAAAGUUGUACCCCUGCAGGGUAUAAGAACAAUUCAAAUUGCCGCACUCUCGGUCAUGAGCUUGCUUCUAUCCAUCUGCAACAGUCGUAGAGUUACGAGCUGUGAAUUGUGGCAUGGUAUGUUGAGUGAGUUGGAUUUGAUUCUAUUUACAGUUAUGUUGGUAAGUGUUUCGGAUAUACAUUACUAUUGUUGGGUAUUGCAGGGUACACUAGUAUGUCAGUUAAGUAUUGUUUCUCACACAUAUGUGUCUAGAUUUCUUACCGCAUAUGUUUUAUUUAACCUUGUGGCCAACUCUUGCUAUCUGCUCAAUGCAUAACCCUUAGAGUCGAGCCAUUUAUAUAUACUCUAUAUGAAUUAAGUCUUGCGAGUACCUUCGUACUCACACUGCUCUUUCAGGUUCUAUCGAUGAGGAAGAGGCAGUGUUUGGCUACUACGCCUGCCGAUGUUGGUGGUAGGCAUGAGUAGUGCAUCCUACUCUACGUGGCGUGUGACUUUUGGGGUGGAGCCUAAAGGCAUAUGGCUCCACUCUCCUUUUGUUUUUAUUAAGGUUUUAAUCUUCUGCUGUGUUAUUUUUCUUUUGUUGGAUAGUUCCUCACACCUGGGAUCGGUGGCCUCUGAGGCCCCCUUCCUCACUGUAGCUAUUUUGCCGACUUGUGGGCCCCUGACAUGUGGGCCCUACUCCUAUUACAUCUAUUAGCCGUGCCAUUGCCCAAUCCAACCGGGACCCACCGUGGUACCACCAGAUCUGGUCAACCCCAAGCGCACCACCGCCGGAUCUGUCCUAGGCUUAGCUUGUCAACGUUGGAUGUGCAAGCCCCCUAGCCCACAACCUCAAGAUCGGUUCGGCCCGAACCUCCACAACGUCAUCACCGAGCUCCAUGCCGCCGUUGGCUCUUCAAUGAGGACAGGAACCUGCUGUCGGAUAAAGGCGGCCUAACCGCGCCGUUGACAGAUGUGGUCGUACCAUUGCAUGUUCUGAGGCCAUACCAUCGCUGAAACCAACCGCUUCUGCCAUCCGCACUACCAGCGGAUCUCGAUGGCCUUGGCUGCUCUGCCAUAGGAUCUGGGGCGGGUCGACCUAGCAACGCCAUUGUUGUCGUUGAUUGUUGUUGGUCUGCAGCCACGAAUAAGAAUGUUGUUGGUAGAGAUGGAGAUUUGAGUGAGAGAGGAAGGAGUGGAAGAGGCCAUGGCAACCUGGAGCCGUCCGUGUCUGUGGAGCUAACACAAGAGAACAAGAGAAGCAAGAUGAGUCACAUGUGCUGCGCAGUAUUGAUUCCAUGCUCCAGAGGCACAAUAGUCAAAACAAGCACAGUGAAAUGUGUUGUUGUGUUCAGCUUUUCUAGGAAGGUAGCUACAUGCAUCUGAUGUACACAUUUUGUGUCUGACUUAUGGGCCAUAUAUUGAGUUGACGUACAUGUGUUGAGUA